rnacentral:lncRNA from 1 species
ACUGACAUGAUUUAAUUAUCAUCCUAAAAUUAUUGUCCUAACCUAUAGAGUUCAGCAUAAUUUUAAUCAAUGCACAGUAUAUGAUGAAACAAAAUACCUCAAUUUUAUUCAUAAUAAAAUAUGUCAAUUAUAUGAGUAUAGAAGAUAAAGUAGAUUAAUCCCUUUACAUAUGUCAUAAGAUUGGCUUGUAGGGCAUUAACUCUUUCAACC